GGGAAACUGCCUGAUGGAGGGGGAUAACUACUGGAAACGGUAGCUAAUACCGCAUAACGUCGCAAGACCAAAGAGGGGGACCUUCGGGCCUCUUGCCAUCAGAUGUGCCCAGAUGGGAUUAGCUAGUAGGUGGGGUAACGGCUCACCUAGGCGACGAUCCCUAGCUGGUCUGAGAGGAUGACCAGCCACACUGGAACUGAGACACGGUCCAGACUCCUACGGGAGGCAGCAGUGGGGAAUAUUGCACAAUGGGCGCAAGCCUGAUCCAGCCAUACCGCGUGGGUGAAGAAGGCCUUCGGGUUGUAAAGCCCUUUUGUUGGGAAAGAAAUCCAGCUGGUUAAUACCCGGUUGGGAUGACGGUACCCAAAGAAUAAGCACCGGCUAACUUCGUGCCAGCAGCCGCGGUAAUACGAAGGGUGCAAGCGUUACUCGGAAUUACUGGGCGUAAAGCGUGCGUAGGUGGUCGUUUAAGUCCGUUGUGAAAGCCCUGGGCUCAACCUGGGAACUGCAGUGGAUACUGGGCGACUAGAAUGUGGUAGAGGGUAGCGGAAUUCCUGGUGUAGCAGUGAAAUGCGUAGAGAUCAGGAGGAACAUCCAUGGCGAAGGCAGCUACCUGGACCAACAUUGACACUGAGGCACGAAAGCGUGGGGAGCAAACAGGAUUAG
rnacentral:rRNA from 1 species